CGAGUAAAUGAUGCCCCGUGAUGUAAAUAAUUUGGUUCACUGUCAGCUUUGUUGAAAAAGUGUUGAGUGGGUAGACUCCUCCAAUCCAUGCAGUAUGUUAAAUACUGUUGUAGGUCACUUCUGCAAAUGGGUGAACUGCCAGUGUUUUAUCACAUAUCAUAUAUUUUACUCUAUAUUAUUCUCGGGGAACAGAAAACUUUAUUACUUUCUGGUUGGGUGCAAACCGAGUGGUACUAUUUGCGUAAUCCCUCAAACAAUCAAUGAAUAUGCGUUGCAGAUAAUUUGCUGCUGCCCCUUCGUACUUAAUGCUUAGUCCAGUGCCAAAAUUAGUUAUUUGAAAGACCAUGGUCAUUUAUAGACGCAUGGGGGGGAGAGGCAUUUAAAAGUGUAUUGUAUGAGUAAAUUACAUGUAAUUAAUAGUUGAUGAGCGCUAAAAGUACCGUUUAAUAUGAUUGCAGGAACUCGGCCCAGAAAUGUUCUUGACAUGAGCAAGAGAAGUCUAUGGAGUCAUUUUACCUAAAAGAAUUGGUGGUAAGCAUCAAGUCCAGGCCCAGGCACAUCCCUUUGGAUAAGAAGUAGCAUCACUUCCUAUUUUACUACAACUGUACCAUACAAAUGAAAUAAAUAGCAGCAUUACUGUCAAA